UCUCCUGUAGCUCAGUGGUAGAGCAUCUGUACGAUGUGUGCGGAAGGUUUAUAGAUUCGAGCUCCUGUUGGGAGAA